rnacentral:lncRNA from 1 species
AGAGGGAAAUCGCCUCCAAACCCAGGCUGGGAAUGAGGGAGGAGGGGCGAGGCGGCUGGGGACUAGAAAAAGCAGCAGGGAAUUAACGUGACAGUCAGAGCCCAGCCAGUGCCUCGCCGGCGCUGCUCUCUCGCCUCGCGGUUGCGGGGUCCGGAAUGGAGAGAGGAGGCGGGGGCUGAGCGUUGGCUGCCGGAGACCAGCUGAGCCAAUACAGAGAGAGGGAGAGAGAAAAAGGAGGGAUCAGAAGCUAUAUUUGUAACUUUUGAUUAGUGAACUACAGAAGGAAGCCUAACACUGCAGGACCAUGACCUUCACAUCUACUUUAGUGGCCCCUCUGGGUCAGAGAUGGAU